rnacentral:rRNA from 1 species
CAGCAGCCACGGGAAUACGUAGGUGGCAAGCGUUGUCCGGAAUCAUUGGGCGUAAAGGGCUCGCAGGCGGCUUCUUAAGUCUGAUGUGAAAGCCCCGGGCUCAACCGGGGAGGGUCAUUGGAAACUGGGAAACUUGAGUGCAGAAGAGGAGAGUGGAAUUCCACGUGUAGCGGUGAAAUGCGUAGAGUUGUGGAGGAACACCAGUGGCGAAGGCGACUCUCUGGUCUGUAACUGACGCUGAGGAGCGAAAGCGUGGGGAGCGAACAGGAUUAGAUACCCCCGUAGUCCCUGUCUCUUAUAC